rnacentral:rRNA from 1 species
ACUGCUCAGUAACACGUGGACAACCUGCCCUUAGGUUGGGUAUAAACCCGGGAAACUGGGUAUAAUACCCGAUAGGUCUCGAUUGCUGGAAUGCAUCGAGAUUUAAAGCUCCGGCGCCUAAGGAUGGGUCUGCGGCCUAUCAGGUAGUAGUGGGUGUAGCGUACCUACUAGCCUACGACGGGUACGGGUUGUGAGAGCAAGAGCCCGGAGAUGGAUUCUGAGACACGAAUCCAGGCCCUACGGGGUGCAGCAGGCGCGAAAACUUUACAAUGCUGGCAACAGCGAUAAGGGAACCUCGAGUGCCAGGUUACAAAUCUGGCUGUCGAGAUGCCUAAAAAGCAUUUCAUAGCAAGGGCCGGGCAAGAUCGGUGCCAGCCGCCGCGGUAACACCGGCGGCUCGAGUGGUAACCGUUAUUAUUGGGUCUAAAGGGUCUGUAGCCGGCCGGAUAAGUCUCUUGAGAAAUCUGGCAGCUUAACUGUCAGGCUUUCAGGAGAUACUGUCUGGCUCGAGGCCGGGAGAGGUGAGAGGUACUUCAGGGGUAGGGGUGAAAUCUUGUAAUCCUUGAAGGACCACCAGUGGCGAAGGCGUCUCACCAGAACGGACCUGACGGCAAGGGACGAAAGCUAGGGGCACGAACCGGAUUAGAUACCCGGGUAGUCCUAGCCGUAAACGAUACUCGCUAGGUGUCGGCCACGGUGCGACCGUUGUCGGUGCCGUAGGGAAGCCGUGAAGCGAGCCACCUGGGAAGUACGGCCGCAAGGCUGAAACUUAAAGGAAUUGGCGGGGGAGCAC